rnacentral:misc_RNA from 1 species
GAAUAUUUCUAAACUAGGAUAUAUCAUCUUUAAAGCGAAGAUUCUGCUCGGAAGUCGGCGAGUAUGGCGAGGAGUGUGGUUUACGCCGUAGAUUCGUGCAUACGAUAUAAUUUUCUUGAAAUAAUAUACUCGUUAAAUUUAUCCAUUUUUGUUUCUUCACACAUGACGGAGUUUCUCGUGGAGUCGCAAAAGAAAAAAAAUAAUUAAGGGGAGACCUAUAAGCGGUUAUUGAUUAGGAGAUAAUCUCUCGGUUUUAGGAUGUAAGCUUUUUUUGCUUCUCUUACGUAUUUGUUGCUUUUCUUUGCUCGUAAUAUUUUUUGACCCUUCUCAGAUUUCUCAAUUCAUUUUUACAGAUUUGAAGAAAUAAUGACUUCAAAAGGCGAUUGCAAUUCUGCAUUCGAUGUAUUUGUUUUUUCAAUAAUUUUU